rnacentral:rRNA from 1 species
CGGGGGGCUGCAGCAGGGAAUAUUGCACAAUGGACGGAAGUCUGAUGCAGCGACGCCGCGUGGAUGAUGAAGGCCCUCGGGUUGUAAAAUCCUUUUCAGGGGGACGAGGCAGGACGGUACCCUUGGAAUAAGCGUCGGCUAACUACGUGCCAGCAGCCGCGGUAAGACGUAGGACGCAAGCGUUAUCCGGAUUUACUGGGCGUAAAGCGUCUGUAGGCGGAGUGGAAAGUUGGGCGUGAAAGCUCCGGGCUCAACCCGGAGAGGACGUUCAAUACUACCAAACUAGAGGACAUCAGAGGAGCGUGGAAUUUCCGGUGUAGCGGUAAAAUGCGCAGAUAUCGGAAGGAACACCAGUGGCGAAGGCGGCGCUCUGGGAUGUACCUGACGCUAAGAGACGAAAGCUAGGGGAGCGAACAGGAUUAGAUACCCUUGUAGUC